AGUGAACGCUGGCGGUAGGCCUAACACAUGCAAGUCGAACGGCAGCACAGUAAGAGCUUGCUCUUACGGGUGGCGAGUGGCGGACGGGUGAGGAAUACAUCGGAAUCUACUUUUUCGUGGGGGAUAACGUAGGGAAACUUACGCUAAUACCGCAUACGACCUACGGGUGAAAUCAGGGGAUCUUCGGACCUUGCGCGAUUGAAUGAGCCGAUGUCGGAUUAGCUAGUUGGCGGGGUAAAGGCCCACCAAGGCGACGAUCCGUAGCUGGUCUGAGAGGAUGAUCAGCCACACUGGAACUGAGACACGGUCCAGACUCCUACGGGAGGCAGCAGUAGGGAAUAUUGGACAAUGGGCGCAAGCCUGAUCCAGCCAUACCGCGUGGGUGAAGAAGGCCUUCGGGUUGUAAAGCCCUUUUGUUGGGAAAGAAAAGCAGCAGGUUAAUACCCCGCUGUUCUGACGGUACCCAAAGAAUAAGCACCGGCUAACUUCGUG
rnacentral:rRNA from 1 species